GUGGUGAUGAUGAUGCUGAUGCUGAUAAUGUGUUGGUGGUGGUGGUGGUGGUGGUGGUGAUUGCGUUGGUUGUGCAACAAGAACAGCAGCAGCAAUGAUGUUCUCACUGAUGUAUUAUAAAAGAGAUAUAGAAAUGGCAUUCACUGGAAGAGAAAAGGCGUUUUGUAUGCUGGAGUAUGCUCGAAUACAGUCGAACGAGACUGUGCAGCGUGCAUUUGUGAGAGAGUUCUCUAAAAAGUCACCAACGGCAAUGCAGAUUUGGACAAAUAAUUCAAGCAGGAAGGCUGUCUGCGCAAGCGACCACUAACAUCAGAAGAUUUGGUCAAGCGGGUUCACCAAGAACUCUUGCGAAGCCCCAAGAAGUUCAUAAGAAGAACAAGUCUGGAAACCCAGAUUCCUCCAACAACAGUUUGAUACCCCAACCUGUUAGAAACAACAGCCAAAUCUCCCACAAAUUAAAACAGGAAAAGGAUUCUUUGGAUAAUGUGGUCCAAGACACACAAUAAAAAAAAGAGGUGAUUGUAAUGACUGGAAUGCUUUUGAACAGAGACCGGGGUCAUCGAAGACUUCGCGUUACCUGGUAGUCUCAUCCUCACUUACACCAUCCUUGAUGCUUCUUUUUCCUAUUCUGUGAUGUACUUGAGCACAUCAUCAGGAUGUUUCCUGGGGUCUGUUUCGAAUCCUUCAACAUCAGACACUCUCAUCUAGGCGAUCCCAGCCUGGGUUGAUCGAAUCCCAGCCUGGUAGAGCUGCCUCUGAUGUCUCCACAGCCAACACGUUAGCCAUCAGCCUACAAGCGCCGGUGAUGAGCAUGCUGUUAUAAUACAUAUCUAUGUAUUCUAGAAUUCGCUAUUUAUUUUUUUUUUUCAAUAGUGAGGGUCACCUUGGUAUUUAAAAUGAUCGAUGCCUUUCAUCAACACAGACUAUUUGGAAACAUAAACACGUGAACUAUUUCUACGAACCUGUGGCGUUUGAGACGUUUGGAGGGACUUUGUCGCUAACCGCGAAGAUCUUGUCAUCGUUGGCCGCUCGCCUCUCCGGUGAUGAUGCCCGUGACGGCGCUUAUCUUUUCCAACACCUUAGCCUCGCCAUCGCCACUGCUUAAUGCUGCGAGCGUUGUUUCAGUAGGUUCCGUUGAAACUUGUCGUGUGCGACCAACUGAAGCCGCAUUGAUGCUUUUUUUUUUCUUUCUCCCUUUUUUAAAAAAAAAUUAUAUGCUGUCAUUGCAUUUUUUUUUUUUCUUUGUCUUUCUUUGUAAAAUAUAUUCCUGUUCAUAUUUUGAAUAAAAAAUUGGAAACCAUUAACUUAUACACGUAGAUUAUGCGAUGGAAAUAGACACAUAUUUCUAUCAUAUUAAUUAUUUCAAUUAUAGGUCCAAAGUCUGAAAUUUGGAGGUGGAAGGGGGAGGUAAUCGAUUGCAUCGACCCCACCACCAUCACCUCCAAUACCUGACUGAUAGUUAUUUUAUCAACCGCAAAAAAGAUGAAAGGCAAAGUCGACCUCAGCAGCAUUUUGAACUCCGAACGUGAGGACAGACUAAAUACCGCUAUGCAUUUUGUCCGACGCGCUAACGAUUCUGCCAGCUCGCAACAUUUGUAACGGUUGUAGUAAAACCUCUCUCUCGGGUAUUUAUUUAUGAAUGCUAACGUAGCGGCUAACAUCUAGCUUUCGGCCGCUUGGACCGCUGUGUCCAUUACCCUGAUUGGCUCUUAUUUGUGCGGCAUUUGUCAACAGUUCUGUUUCGCGCCAGGGUGCAUACCGACCAAUCGUGUCCUUCUGUUAAGGUCACGUGAGAGAGAGUUUUACUGCUUUUCCGGAGCCCCUUUUUAUCUAUAAAUAGUCUUGCUUCAUCCAUGCCAGUCUGUCGCGAUUUCAGACCUUUUCAGGUCUGGUCGUAGACCACACACAGAGCACAGCUCCAGCCAGUUUCCAGCGACGACGUCAACACCACUGACCUACUGUCUACUACAAUGUCGUUGCCAGCGCCAACACCACCACCGCCAGAGUCCACGCUACCAACAGCAACCGCGGUUCCUUCUCAACACUGUUUGUGUGGAUUGUUUCCACCUCGAAAAUAACAGCCAGAACCAACCUGCGAGGAUCUUCUGUACUAAGUAACCGGUCGCAGCAUCGACGCUCAACUUCACUCACGACUUGUGACACCACAGCUCUGCUAUUCAGCCACGACCUCUUGUGUACAGACAUUCUACCUACUGUGUAACUCUUCUAUGAACUGGUACUUUCUUAUCUUUGUGUUCAGGACUCUCUUAGUCUAUGUUACAGACACUUAUUCCAUGUUCUGUAUUUCUCAUUCACACACACAUAUUAUUGUAUACAUACUAUUGUUCAUACGAAGGCCUGUCUUAUGUAUUGUAUUGUUUAUAUUGCCGCAUGCACGCACACACAGAUACACAGUUGACUACCCUAAUAAAACUUACUCUUUAUAUAUAACUAA